UAAAGGUGGGCCUAAUUUGUAAUGUUCAGAUGGCCGAGGCUACCUUUCCCUCUUUUUUUCCUGUUUACAAGGGGAGACAUAAGAGAGACAUAAAUGACGUUUAUGAAGCAUUUCAUGUAAAGACUUGGGAGGGCAUAUACAAUUGUCCUUUCAGCAGUUAAUUCCUCAAACCUGAAAUAAACGUGUUUUAGUACUGUAUGUACAUCCAUAUUAUUUGCCGAGGUUUUUACUGUGAUUUCUGCAUUGUAUAUUACUUUGUUACUGUUGGCUGUCUUUAACUCGAAUGCUGAAAUUUUUUGGUUGGUUUUUAUCUACUAUUGUUUUAUUUUGUAUUUUAUUUAGUGUACUGCAUAAAGAACAGAAGUUAUGGGACAAAAUAAAAACAAAUAACUGUUGACGCCAUUGCUAAUGACUGCACCAACUAAUGAAUUAUCAGGAAUCCCCAACUCCUGAGCCACAGUCCGAUACUGGUACGUGGCCUAUUAGGAUCUGGGCCGCAUAGCUAGAGAUGAGCAGUGGAGGACUGAGCAAAACCAAAACCAUCCUUCUCCCGGUCGGUGGAAAAAUUGUCUUCAACAAAACCGGUUCCUGGUGCCCAAAAUGUUGGGGACCACUGAUCUACUGGAUUAUAAAAAGCCAGGAAAUUACAUAUGCAGUUAAAAUAAUGAAGAAGGGAUGAACAAUAUGCUUAAGCUAGCAUGUGUGCAUUUUAUUGGAAUAAAUGAUUUCCAAAAUU